rnacentral:lncRNA from 1 species
AUCCACUGUGAGUCUGUUUCUGUUGUUCCUAAUCUUUAGCUAGAGUCCUGUGUUGUAGUUCUUUUAGCUGUUACUCUGCAAAUGCAAGGUGCAGGUCAGCUUCAGGUCCAGUGUCCUGGACAUUACACUCUGAAUUAAGAGUUUCUUUAGCUUCUUUCUUUAAGCCAAAUUACAAUGUUAACAUGUGACCAUAUCGAUUCUCUGUGGUCUACCAUUAUAAAACUCAAAUGGUUACAAGUCAAAUCCUUACAUUGAUGAGAGGAAUAUAGCAUGGUGGUUAGCAGCAUGAAUUAGUCAGACAACCCUGGCUUCAAAUCCCGGCUCUGCUACAUAUAACAUACAACUUAACCUUGGGCUAGUUGCUUAACUCCUAUAAGCAUUAGUUUUCUCACUGGUAAAAUGGGGAUUAAAUGAUAAUGUAAGAGAAGUGCUUAGUGAACAAUAACUUACAACUAACAGCUAAUAAGCACUGUAGAAUUUUCCUUAAUACAUAAUUUUCUGUAAUUACCAAAGAAGGCAAAAAUUAAACUUGAGUCUAAUGUCAGGACAUGUAUCAUAACUAUCUUUAUUGUUAAGAUGGGAAAUUGAUGGAAAUGUUCUAAAAUUAGGUUGUGAUGAUGGUUGUACAACUAUAAAUAUAGUAAAAGUCAUCGAAUUUGGAGUUCUUGUGGUUCAGCGGGUUAAGAACCCAACUAGGAUCCAUGAAGAUAUGAGUUCAAUCCCUGGCCUCCAUCAGUGGGUUAAGGAUCUGGUAUUACUGCAAGCUAUGUGUUGCUGUGGCUGUGGUGUAGACCAGCAGCUGUGGCUCCAAUUCGACCCCUAGCUUGGGAGCGUCCAUAUGGCACAGGUACAGCCCUAAAAAAGAAAAAAAAAAUUAAUUAAAUAUUUUAAAAAGAGGGGAAAUUGCUUUUUUAAAACAUUAAAUCAUUUUUCUUUUUCAAAAUGAUUUUAUUUAACAUACUUUUCUGUAACUUGCUAGUUUCUCUUUAAAUUCUACCACUGACAACUUCCUAUGCCAGUAGAAAUGUAUUAACUGCAUUCUUCUUAAAGACUGUAACUUAUUUUUUUUCUAGUAACAAUUCACUCAUUGAAGAUGCCAUAAUUAAUAUUAAAGCAAACAACACAGAGGCUUCAUCGAGUUGGGGAAUGAGAGGAAAAGAGUUGUAGAAAAUGUACACAAACGUAAAUGCCAUUCUCCUGGCUCUUGAAUUCCAGAAGUGAAACUGGAGGGUUCAACUGUCCAUAUUUGGAAAUGACUGGUUGCUCGAUGACCACAGUGUUAAGCUAAGUAUUUUGCCCUAUUUUUUGCAGAGGUUGGGGGAAGCAUGAAAGGGAAUUGGUCAGGAGAGUGUUAUUAUUAAACCAGUUAGCUCUGUAUUCUCUUCCAGCAUAGUCUCAGUGUAGUUUUAAGCAUUAUAAAAUCAAACUUUCAGAGUUCCUGUCAUGGCUCAGUGGUUAACGAAUCUGACUAGCAUCCAUGAGGACGCAGCUUCAAUCCCUGGCCUUGCUCAUUGGGUUAAGGAUCCAGCAUUGCCAUGAGCUGUGGUGUAGGUUGCAUACACGGCUCGGAUCCUGAGUUGCUGUGGCUGUGGCGUAAGCCUGCAGCUACAGCUCCAAUUUGACCCCUAGCCUGGGAACCUCCAUAUGCCACAGGUGCAGACCUAAAAAGCCAAAAAAAAAGUCAAACUUCUGGAGUUCCCGUCAUGGAUCAGCGGAAACGAAUCCAACUGGCAUCCAUGAGGAUGUGGGUUCAAUCCUCGGCCUUGUUCAGUGGGUCAGGGAUCCAGCGUAGCUGUGAGCUGUGGUAGAGGUCACCAACGUAGCUCGGAUCCCACACUACAUGUGGCUGUGGUAUAAGCCAGCAGCUGUAGCUCAAAUUCAACCCCUAGCCUGGGAACUUCCCUAUGCCGCAGGUGGGGCCCAAAAAAAAAAAAAAAAAUCAGCGCAGUUUGUUUUGUUUUGUUUUUUAAGCUUCUCCUGAAGCAUGUGGAAGUUCCCGGCCAGGGAUCAAACCCAAGCCAUAGCAGCAACAAUACCGGGUCAUUAAUCGGCUGAGCCACCAGGGAACUCCCAGCUCUGUUUUUUAAGAUGAAGUUUCUGAAACAGAUUCCCCAGUGAGGCUAUCUCUUAUUCCCUGAAAUUACAGCAGAGGUAAGAACCUGGUUUGUAGGGCUGGUGUCAGUCAGUCAAAGGAUCCAGUUUGUGUUCUUGCCAUAAAGUAGCAAAUAAAGGCCUGAAGAACAGAUAACCUUCUCAACCUCUCUGGCACUGAAUAUAUUUCACCUUAAUAAACUAUCAGGAACUUCCAUUAAACUAGGUUUCCUUUAGCUAAGACUCAAGGAUAAACUAGCAUUAACAUAGCUUGGUGUGUAUGCUGUGUGGCAGCAAUAAAAGCAUGAUGAGCCUGGGGCCCAAACACCUCAAAUCUCAUAAAAGCAAGUGCUCCUCACCCUUUAUUUGGGAAACUUCUUUCCCACUAAAGUUCCUCCAAUAUACCUUGUAUCUUCUUAGCUCAUGUUUCCAAAAUCCUUGCCUGGUAUCCUCCAUAACAUCUCUAUACUUAUCUCAAUUUUUUUUUUUUUUCUUUUAACACAGAAAGGGCAAGAGUCUUGGCCAACCUUGGCAAUAGAAAAUGUAUAUUACUAUCCUCAAGAACUCAACAUCCAGUGUUGGCACUUGGAAAUAAAAGACUUUUGAUGGUUUAAAGCCCCUGGGCAUGUGUGGGUGUCUAUAGACAUGUUUACAGGAACUGGUUAGCCCCACAAUUCUCCCAGACAACCAAGCUCACUACCAGGAUGACUUCAGCUUGGGCACCCUCUCCUCUUAGUCUCCCUAACACUUGACAGUGCCUGGCUUAUAACAGCUCUGUCAGAUGGGGAGGCAGAUGGUUCCCAAAGAGCCCCAACCAAAGGCACAGACCCGAGACCAGAUGUCUUGUUCUAGAACAGAUGGUUUAAACUGCCUCCCGUUCCCUUUUGCUCUGGCAGUCUAUGGGGCU